GUCAGCGGUGAAAUUUUGCAGCUUAACUGUAAAAGUGCCGUUGAUACUGUGAGGCUAGGAUUUGGUUGCUGUGGGUGGAAUGUGUGGUGUAGCAGUGAAAUGCUUAGAGAUCACACAGAAUAUCGAUUGCGAAGGCAGCUCACAAAGCCAAAAUUGACGCUGAGGCACGAAAGUGUGGGGAUCAAACAGGAUUAGAUACCCUGGUAGUCCACACUGUAAACGAUGAUAACUCGCUGUCGGCGAUAUACAGUCCGUGGCCAAACCAAAGCCAUAAAUUAUCCCCCUGGGGAAUACCACCGCCAGGGUGAAACUCCAAGGAAUUGACGGGGGCCCCCACAAGCGGAAGAACCUGUUGUUUAAUUUCAUGAUACCCCAGGAACCUUACCCGGGCUCCAACGGUGCAUGAAUAUGGUAGAUAUAUCGUAGCUAGCAAUACUCUGUAUCAAGGUGCUGCAUGGUUGUCGUCAGCUCGUGCCGUGGGGUGUCGGCUAAAAUGCCAUAACGAGCGCACCCCUUGUCAUUA
rnacentral:rRNA from 1 species